rnacentral:rRNA from 1 species
AACGUAGGUCACAAGCGUUGUCCGGAAUUACUGGGUGUAAAGGGAGCGCAGGCGGGAAGACAAGUUGGAAGUGAAAUCCAUGGGCUCAACCCAUGAACUGCUUUCAAAACUGUUUUUCUUGAGUAGUGCAGAGGUAGGCGGAAUUCCCGGUGUAGCGGUGGAAUGCGUAGAUAUCGGGAGGAACACCAGUGGCGAAGGCGGCCUACUGGGCACCAACUGACGCUGAGGCUCGAAAGUGUGGGUAGCAAACAGGAUGAGAGACCCGGGUAGGCCGGCUGCUGACU